AGAGUUUGAUCCUGGCUCAGAAUCAACGCUGGCGGCGUGCCUCAGACAUGCAAGUCGAACGAGAAAGUCCCCUUCGGGGGAUGAGUAAAGUGGCGCACGGGUGAGUAACACGUAGGUAAUCUACCUUCGGGUGGGGAAUAACCCAGGGAAACUUGGGCUAACACCGCAUAAUGCAGCGGCACCACAUGGUGACAGUUGUUAAAGCGGGGGAUUUUAGGACCUCGCGCCUGAAGAGGAGCCUGCGGCGGAUUAGCUAGUUGGUAGGGUAACGGCUUACCAAGGCGACGAUCCGUAACCGGCCUGAGAGGGCGGUCGGUCACACUGACACUGACAUACGGGUCAGACUCCUACGGGAGGCAGCAGUCGGGAAUUUUGGGCAAUGGGCGAAAGCCUGACCCAGCAACGCCGCGUGAAGGAUGAAAUCCCUCGGGAUGUAAACUUCGCAAGAAUAGGAAGAAUUAGUAGGGGCUAAUACCCCCUAUGAUGACGGUACUAUUUGUAAGCUCCGGCUAACUCCGUGCCAGCAGCCGCGGUAAUACGGGGGGAGCAA
rnacentral:rRNA from 1 species